UGAGCAAUCUGCCCUUCACAUCGGAAUAACCAUUGGAAACGACGUCUAAUGCCGAAUACGACCUCCUUUCGCAUGAUCGGAGGCGGAAAGCUCCGGCGGUGAAGGAUGAGCUCGCGGCCUAUCAGCUAGUUGGUGUGGGUAACGCCCACCAAGGCGACGACGGGUAGCCGGCCUGAGAGGGUGACCGGCCACACUGGGACUGAGACACGGCCCAGACUCCUACGGGAGGNAGCG
rnacentral:rRNA from 1 species